rnacentral:lncRNA from 1 species
AUGCCAAUACAGAGGAGCGAGCACAGCUCAUCUGGUCUGGGGCAGGGCGCUCACCGCGUUCAGGCGGUCUGGGCGAGCACACGCAAUCUGGGCCGAAUUUCACACACUGUAUUCAGCCAAGCAGAGGAAAGAAAAAUGAAAACCACUUUUAUCUCCUCAACAGACAGAUGGAUGUACCUUGUAGCAGCCUUCAGUGCAGCUCGUGAGAGAAUCCUGACUCAGUUUUGGAGCUGGCACCUCCUGUACUUGAUGGUGUGUAACACCCCGUGCCUGGCGCAGUGCCCGACGCUUCGUGGCUCUCAACGAUACCAUGAGUGGCCGUGUCUUCGGGAGGGGAAGCGGGACAUGAAACGCAUAGGGACCUUUUUGAACCUGGCAAACUUCAGAGUUCUUCCAUCUCACCUUCUGGGGUUUCACCUGCAUCCCAGCCCAGGCCCACCCUGCCUUCCAGGCGCUGUAACCAGGCCUGCCUUCUCCAGGCGGAGCGCUGCUUUUCCUCAAGAUCUUCCCUUCAGCGGAAACUUUGCUGUCCCGUGUCCCACUCUUGCGGUUGAACGGAGAACUGCAGUUGUCAGAAAGCUCUCUAGGCAGAGCCCCAGGGAAGUGCUAACAGCUCGGGGAGACGCCCAGGCCUGGCGUAGAAGGGUGCUGUGGACUGAGUGUGCAUGUCCCCCAGAUUGAGCCUGUACCCAGUGCUGGAUGGUGUUCUUCAUGAAGAAAGAUCUCCAGAAUGUGGCACCUGCCUCCCCAGCCCCAGGAGCUGCUUCGUAGCUGUGUGUGAGCGACUGGAAGGCAGCCCCGGGCCGAGGUUGGGGACAUCCACCACACAGUAGCAUCGUGAGCCUCAAGAGACAUUGGAAGCUCUGCGGAGGGCGGGGGGCAGGAGAUGUCACCUCCAGUGGAGGGACCGGGCCCACAGGCACAGACACUGGGGGCAAAGCUGGGGGAACCCGAGUGUGACACUCCGAGCCACAGCCCCCGGCCCCUCUGACGGGGGGAGCCUGGCCCCACGGGGACCUGGUUCUCCUCCCUGGCCUGGCGUCCCCCUCCCUCUUGUGAUUCCCAGCAUCGCCUCCCACACAGAUGACCCGCUGCCCGACUUUGUCUCAGAUCUGUUUCUGGAGAUCCAGAACUCGGAUGGAGAACCCCAGGUCGCUGCCCUCCUGUCACAAUCUAGUGCCAGAGGUGGGGCAAGGGAAACCUCGCAAGUCACGACAAGACUCAGAAAUGCGUUGGGUAGGACGGAGUGCACGCUGGGCUGCCUGGGAAGGCCUGUGAACUAAGUGACGUUUACAGAGUCACAAUCCCAUGCAACAGAGCGUCGCAGAGGCGGGGUGUGGGGCUCAGAGGGGGCUGGUCCCGCUCGGGGUCAGGAAAGUUCUCACAGAAGCAGAGACCGAGCUGAGUAAAAUGGUGUGAGUGUGGACAGCUGAGCAAAGCAGAGACACCUGCCACGUGGGCAGCCGCAAAGCCCAGCACCGAUGGAGCAUGUGUGUGUGCUGGGUCCUGGGCGGGGUGUGUCAUGUGUGUCACCUAAAUGCCCACAGCAGUUUUCUGGGCCAUCCCCAGUUUACAGAAGAGGAAACUGAGGCUCCAUGCCUGGGUGAGGUGGAGCCAGGGUGAGAGCCAGGGACAGAGAGCCAUGGGGACAGGUCACGGUCAUUGCUUUCAGCAGUUCCGUUUAGAUUUCCUGUCCAUGAGAGCUCCUUUGGGCCUACCUGCACCAGGACCCGUGUCGGGCCAUUUGUGCCUGGCAUUGUGUCCCAGGCUGGCUCUUUCUAGAUUAAACAUUAAUGUUGAUAUUUGUCUCAUACGAAUGUGCUUGUGUUGGGCAAGAUGUGAAUAAUUUAUGUGGCUGUGAAGCUGUCAUCCCAGGUGUAGGGGACAGACAGCUGCUCAUCACCUGGUCCUGUGAGGCUGUGCCGCCGUGGCCAGGCAGCCCCAGUGCGUUCUGAACCAAGAAGCGACCGCCUCUGCCUCCCUGCCCCCUCCGUCAAGGGACAGAGACGAACAAGAAGCAGGGGGACAGGCAGAGAGCAGGAUGAGUUAGUCCCAGGGCCUCGAGCCACGCCAGGCAGAGCCAGCACCUUGGCCCUGCGGUGAGCUGCCCACAGCCGUCUCUCCAAGGCUGGGCUUCCUCUCCAACUCCCACUCCUGCCCAGACCUGCAGGAGGCUCCUGAUUCCAGCCUGCACGGACGGCUCUCUGCCUCUCUGUGUCACUGUCUCUGUCGCGCUCUCUCUGUCUGUCUGUCUCUCUCUCUCUGUGACCCUCGACCACAUCCCAUUCUGUACCCCUCCCACCCCUCCCACCUCACCUACCGUUCCUCCCCUCAUAGGUGGUCAGAUUCAUUGUCCCUGGCUCGAGUCUAAUGGAGCCCCUUCCCACAGACGUGUCCCCGACUCCUGCUCAGUGUGGGUUUCCCCCAAAGCAUGGCCAGACUCAAGGCCUUGGAGGUGGGGCCGGGAAGCAGGAACGACGGAGCAGGCCAGUGAGACAGGGCAGAGAAUCCAGCGGAGAGUGGUUCUGGGGCUGGUUGCCACUGUGGGCAAUGGGGGCUGCGUCCCGCCAAGGCUCCCCUGAAAACCCACUGCUGCAUGCCCGAGAUGUGACGCCUCUGUGCGGGCUGAGCCUGGGCAUGUGACCCUGGGCUGGGGACUCGGCUGCCCUCCAGGAGUCACUGGGAGCAGCUGAGGAUGCCACAGACGCACAGAGGCCGGGGGAGGAAAGGCUAGAGUGCAGCAGGUGCUUGAGGUGGGGCACCGGCCGUGGGCAGGGGAGCUGCUCCCCACGGAUACCACUGAGAUCUGAGCUGGGCCCAGGAAGGGACACAAAAACACCUGGUACAACUCCUCGUCGCCUGCAAAAUGACACUCAGUACCUUAGCGUGGCGUUCAAGGCCCCCAUGACUUGGCUCCGGUUGACCAGUUGACCCUUAGCUCCCCCUGCUCCCCCCACUGCUGCCUUGGGGACUGACAGCCCCUGAGCUGCCCAUCUCACAGCCCGGGUGCCACCGUUUCCACACCCUGCGGGGUCCCAGUCCCCUGUCCCUCUCCCUGUGCACCCAUCUGAUUCCUGUGCGUCUUUCAAGCUCCCUACUUUCUCUACUGAGGAAACUGUGGGAGUCUCUCAACCCAGUGUGAGCUCCUGGCUCUGCCCUCAGUGUCUAAACUGCCAAUUUGUCGUCUCUCAAAUCUGCCUUCUCCUUCUCUCUUUCACUUGCUCUCCUUCAGUUGAAGUCCUUCCGUGUUACCAACCUUCAGUUUUCCAGGUGCGAUGCCAGGGACCAGGGACACAGAGACACAGUGCAGAGCUGGCAGUCCCUGGGGCUCCGGGCACAGGCCGAGCGGGGCUUCUCGAGGGUGAGGACUGUCCUGUCACCUGUGCAUGCCGGAGCCCGGCAGGCACUGGCCCACUGGAGGUGUUGUGGUUCGUGCUGAGAGUGUAGCUUCUCCCUUUUCCCAUUUAGUCACGUUCCUCCAAUGAAGCGGCUCCUGCUUUGCCAAACCUGCCCAGUCCCGCAGCCUGGGGCCUUGCUGGAGCUUCCAGGUCCUGCCGUGAAAACCCUGCAGUGCUCUGGCAUCCCGGGUGCCCGGGCGAUUGCUGUUGGCCCUUGGGUAGAGGCUGCAGUGGAGGGGGACAGGUGACCCUCCAGAGGUAGAGACCCACUCUCUCAGGGCAGGCAGCUCCGCCAACCUCCCCUGUGGGACGACCAAAGCCUUCUCCCCCUGGCCGCAGAGAACCCUCCCACGCACGCUCCAGUGGGGUCCAGGCAGCUGGGAAGGCCCCUCGGGAGGCCGAGCCUCAUGCCAACAUGGACAUCGUCGUCCCCUGGCCAGAUGUCCACAGACAGGGACCGGGCUUAUAGACCCCAGGGAGUGUGUCCUGAGCCGGAGGUGACCCGCAGCUGUGCCCUUCUGCCAGUGCACAGCGCGGCUGAGACGAGCUUUGGAAAGUCCACUCGGCUCAAGGCUGGGCUGACUGGGUGGCAGACUGAUUUUUAAAAGUUUUUACAUUGUGAAAUACAUUCCGUCUUAAAGUAUAUAUACGUAUUUACAGUUUAAAAUAAUGAAACUAGGAGGCACGCACCCACCAUCUCAUUUAAGAAACAGAACGUCGCCCUGUGUGGCCCUCCCCGCCCCCCGAGGGAGCACUGUCCUGGAGUUUCUGUUCGCCGUUCCUUACUCCUCUUCAUGACUUUAUGGCAUCACAUGCGUUCCUAAGUAGAAUUUUAGCUGUGCCCAUUUUUGAAAUUUAAAUGUUUCUACUGUAUAAAUGUGUUUCAUAGUAUGCUGGUUUUGUUCCAUAUUUUUUAGAAUUCACCCACAUGAUGAAUGACUGUAGUUCAUAUAUUCCCCAUUAUAUCGUAUUCCGCGACAUGCAUUGAUGCGUGCAUUUCUCCAGUUUGCUGUUAAUGGAGAUUUGGGUUGUUCUCAGGUCUUUGUUUUUGUAAGUCAUGCUGCCAUAAAUCUUUCACAGCAGCUUCUGGGAUACAUAUGCAAGUGCAAAGCAGUGGUUCUCGACACCUGUGCCCCUUUUAUAACAAAUAGUUUGUGAUGUUCUUUAUACUGUCUUGUAAUGAAUUUCUUAGAUGCUAUACUGUAACAUAUUUACCCAUAGAAUUUCAAGCACUCAGUCUAAUGCUCUAACUGUAAUAUAAAAGAGAAAUAAAACAAAGCAAUUUACAAUAAAAGAUGAUUGU